rnacentral:rRNA from 1 species
CCUACGGGUGGCAGCAGUGGGGAAUAUUGGACAAUGGGCGAAAGCCUGAUCCAGCCAUGCCGCGUGUGUGAAGAAGGCCUUCGGGUUGUAAAGCACUUUCAGUGGGGAAGAAAGCCUUGGGGCUAAUACCCUCGAGGAAGGACAUCACCCACAGAAGAAGCACCGGCUAACUCCGUGCCAGCAGCCGCGGUAAUACGGAGGGUGCGAGCGUUAAUCGGAAUUACUGGGCGUAAAGCGCGCGUAGGUGGUCUGAUAAGCCGGUUGUGAAAGCCCCGGGCUCAACCUGGGAACGGCAUCCGGAACUGUCAGGCUAGAGUGCAGGAGAGGAAGGUAGAAUUCCCGGUGUAGCGGUGAAAUGCGUAGAGAUCGGGAGGAAUACCAGUGGCGAAGGCGGCCUUCUGGACUGACACUGACGCUGAGGUGCGAAAGCGUGGGUAGCAAACAGGAUUAGAUACCCCGGUAGUC